AACGCACGAGACCUGCGGACCUGCGGAGGGAUCAUUAAUGAGAAACUGCCCCUCGCGGGUAGAUCUCCCACCCUUUGUAAACUUACCUUUGUUGCUUUGGCAGGCCCGUCUCCGGGCCGCCGGCUUCGGCUGGCCAGUGCCUGCCAGAGGAUUCUAAAACUCUGUCUGUCAGUGUUGUCUGAGUCUAUAUACAAUCGUUAAAACUUUCAACAACGGAUCUCUAGAUCGGAAGAGCACACG
rnacentral:misc_RNA from 1 species